rnacentral:lncRNA from 1 species
UUUGAAAUGAUAAUUAAAAAAUCAUGAUAAAAAUAUGAAAACUACAUUAAACGCAAAAUGCCUUGACGUUGAAGGCAAGAAUUGGGUCCAAAUGACUUUCAUUUAUGGUAGCAAUCUUUUUCCCUACGUUGCCCACCACAUAUACCUCAUUCUCAUUGCAUGCACGACCUUAUAAAAAAAUUUAGAGAAAUUAUUUCUAAUGCCAUAUACAAGUAUCUUUUAACGACAUAAUUAAAAUUUAAUUAUAAAAUAUCUCUUUCUUUGAACAGACAUUCUUUCUAAUUAUCAUGACUCCAAACCUGGCAAACGUAUAUUUAUUCAAAUUGAAACCUGGGUUGUGGGAUUCUGUUGUAAAUGGCCGUGCGGGGGACUGUGAGGGCAGUUUUAGAGCAUCCAGUUUCGAUGUCUGUGGCUUGGGAGCCUCCACCAGUUGGAUGGUUUAGAUGAAGUCGAUGUUGCUGAGGUAGGAGUCUUACGCUUUGAUUUACAGCUCACUCGGUAGAUUAGUUUGUCUCCACUGAUGUAGAGUCAGGUCAUUCAGUUUGUGUUGGGUCCACAACAUUUGCAUUGUUAUCUUUAUAUUGUACUCUCCUGAAAUAACGAGAUUUUAUUUAUUUAUUUAUUUUUAAAGAAACACUUUUAACUUGUUUCCGAAGGUAAAUAAACAAUAGAUAUUGUUUUAAUGCCGAACCAAGCAAAUGUAAGUUACACUCAUUAGAUCUCGUUAUAAUACAAACGAUUCAAUCAGAUUCUUUAUGAUUCUUUACGAGAAAUUAGAUGACACUCUAAUCCAAACGACUUCAACAAAAAGAUUUUGAUAAAUAAUUGCAAAGGAAAUUAUAAAAGACGGAUUUUAUUGAAUAAUUGGAGUUAUAAAAAAAAAUAAUAUCUCCCUAUUUAUAAUAGGGCAAACCUACUUCCCUAAGUUAAUUUCAAUAGAAAAUUAAAUUACAAUUAUAAUAAAAAUAAAAUACUAAAGCAUAUACUAUAAUUGUCUCUAAUUAAAAUAGAAAAUAUGAAAAUACCUAAAUAACAAAAUUCUAAAAUUCUAAAAUAAUGUUAUAGCUGUAUUAAUUUCUUUCACUAUAAGAAACUAAACCAACGAAGGUAUUUUUCUUUUCUUUUCUUUUUUUCAAGAUUAGAGGCAUAAUGUUUUUUACUUGUGUGAAGUUUGAAACUUUUAAUAAGAUUAUCAAUUUAAGUAAUAAUAUAUUAUGUGUUUCAAACAAGUGAUAACAAAUCCACACAUUGGAUUUGUGAUAUAUGAAAUACAAUUAAUCUAGGUGAGCCGACUACCGAGUUCUCUAAUUGUUUUGGGAGAAUCAAAAGUGAUUUUAAAAAGUUAAAAAUUAAUUUUAGUAUUUGAUUAUUUUUUUCCAAAAUUAUUUUUGGCAAAAUUAUCCCAUCUUAUAAUAAAUUUUGAAAUAAAGGGAAGGAAUGACUUUUCAAAAUCGACUUUGAGAAUUAAUUUUACAUUUAAUAAAAUUAAUAUAUAUCCUCACAAAUAAUUGGAAAAUCCAAUAUUAUCCUAAUUCAAUUCGGAAAUAAAAUUAUUAAACUUAAAGAGAUUAUUAUUAUUACUAU